rnacentral:rRNA from 1 species
GUGUAUGGCCAUGCCACCCUGAACAAGCCUGAUCCUGUUUGAUCUCGGAAACUAAGCAGAGUUGGGCCUGGUUAGUACUUGGAUGGGAGACCACCUAGGAAGACCAGGUGCCAUAGGCG